rnacentral:rRNA from 3 species
CGGUCCUAAGGUAGCGAAAUUCCUUGUCGGGUAAGUUCCGACCUGCACGAAUGGCGUAACGAUCUCCACACUGUCUCGGCCAGAGACUCGGUGAAAUUGCAGUCGCGGUGAAAAUUCCGUGUACCCGCAGAAAGACGGAAAGACCCUGUGCACCUUUACUAUAGCUUGACAUUGGAUUUUGGGCCUGCAUGUGUAGGAUAGGUGGGAGGCUGUGAACCCUGUACGCCAGUAUGGGGGGAGCCAUCCUUGAAAUACCACCCUUGCAUGUUUAAGAUCCUAACUUCUUCCGGUUAUCCCGGAGAAAGACAGUGUCUGGCGGGUAGUUUGACUGGGGCGGUCGCCUCCUAAAGUGUAACGGAGGCAUGCAAAGGUUCCCUCAGCCUGAUCGGAAACCAGGCGCUGAGUGCAAACGCAUAAGGGAGCUUGACUGUAAGAGAGACAUCUCGAACAGGAACGAAAGUUGGCGUUAGUGAUCCGGUGGUCCCGAAUGGAAGGGCCAUCGCUCAUUGGAUAAAAGGUACGCCGGGGAUAACAGGCUGAUCGCAUCCAAGAGUUCACAUCGACGAUGCGGUUUGGCACCUCGAUGUCGGCUCAUCACAUCCUGGGGCUGAAGCAGGUCCCAAGGGUACGGCUGUUCGCCGUUUAAAGUGGUACGCGAGCUGGGUUUAAAACGUCGUGAGACAGUUUGGUCCCUAUCUUCUGUGGGCGAAGGAGAAUUGAGAGGGCCUGUCCCUAGUACGAGAGGACCGGGAUGGACGCACCCCUGGUGAUCCUGUUGUCGCGCCAGCGGCAUAGCAGGGUAGCUAUGUGCGGAAGGGAUAACCGCUGAAAGCAUCUAAGCGGGAAGCCUGCCUCAAGAUAAGUUCUCCCCUCGAAAGAGCUGAAGGGCCCGGGUAGACUACCCGGUCGAUAGGCUGGAGGUGUAAGCGCGGCGACGUGCUCAGCUGACCAGUACUAAUAGCCCGAGCGGCUUAUUUUU